rnacentral:rRNA from 1 species
GUCUGAAUAUGGGGGGACCAUCCUCCAAGGCUAAAUACUCCUGACUGACCGAUAGUGAACCAGUACCGUGAGGGAAAGGCGAAAAGAACCCCGGCGAGGGGAGUGAAAAAGAACCUGAAACCGUGUACGUACAAGCAGUGGGAGCACCUUCGGGUGUGACUGCGUACCUUUUGUAUAAUGGGUCAGCGACUUAUAUUCUGUAGCAAGGUUAACCGUAUAGGGGAGCCGCAGGGAAACCGAGUCUUAACUGGGCGUUAAGUUGCAGGGUAUAGACCCGAAACCCGGUGAUCUAGCCAUGGGCAGGUUGAAGGUUGGGUAACACUAACUGGAGGACCGAACCGACUAAUGUUGAAAAAUUAGCGGAUGACUUGUGGCUGGGGGUGAAAGGCCAAUCAAACCGGGAGAUAGCUGGUUCUCCCCGAAAGCUAUUUAGGUAGCGCCUCGUGAAUUCAUCUUCGGGGGUAGAGCACUGUUUCGGCUAGGGGGUCAUCCCGACUUACCAACCCGAUGCAAACUACGAAUACCGAAGAAUGUUAUCACGGGAGACACACGGCGGGUGCUAACGUCCGUCGUGAAGAGGGAAACAACCCAGACCGCCAGCUAAGGUCCCAAAGUCAUGGUUAAGUGGGAAACGAUGUGGGAAGGCACAGACAGCCAGGAUGUUGGCUUAGAAGCAGCCAUCAUUUAAAGAAAGCGUAAUAGCUCACUGGUCGAGUCGGCCUGCGCGGAAGAUGUAACGGGGCUAAACCAUGCACCGAAGCUGCGGCAGCGACACUAUGUGUUGUUGGGUAGGGGAGCG